AGUGAACGCUGGCGGUACGCCUAACACAUGCAAGUCGAACGGCAGCACAGUAAGAGCUUGCUCUUACGGGUGGCGAGUGGCGGACGGGUGAGGAAUACAUCGGAAUCUACUUUUUCGUGGGGGAUAACGUAGGGAAACUUACGCUAAUACCGCAUACGACCUACGGGUGAAAGCAGGGGAUCUUCGGACCUUGCGCGAUUGAAUGAGCCGAUGUCGGAUUAGCUAGUUGGCGGGGUAAAGGCCCACCAAGGCGACGAUCCGUAGCUGGUCUGAGAGGAUGAGCAGCCACACUGGAACUGAGACACGGUCCAGACUCCUACGGGAGGCAGCAGUGGGGAAUAUUGGACAAUGGGCGCAAGCCUGAUCCAGCCAUACCGCGUGGGUGAAGAAGGCCUUCGGGUUGUAAAGCCCUUUUGUUGGGAAAGAAAAGCAGCAGGUUAAUACCCCGCUGUUCUGACGGUACCCAAAGAAUAAGCACCGGCUAACUUCGUG
rnacentral:rRNA from 1 species